UGCAGAAUCCCGUGAACCAUCGAGUCUUUGAACGCAAGUUGCGCCCGAAGCCGUCAGGCCGAGGGCACGCCUGCCUGGGCGUCACACGCCGUUGCCCCUCCACGCCCCCAUCGGGAGCGUCGGGGGGCGGACGAUGGCCUCCCGUGCGUCACCCCGCGCGGUUGGCACAAAUGCCGGGUCCUCGGCGACGAACGCCACGACAAUCGGUGGUCGUCCGACCUCGGUUGCCCGUUGUGCGCCUUCGUCGCGCUACGAGCGGCUCGCGACGCUCGCUGCUCCGGCGAACCCUGGAGCUUUCGACGCGACCCCAGGUCAGGCGGGGUUACCCGCUGAAUUUAAGCAUAUCAAUAAGCGGAGGAAAAGAAACUUACGAGGAUUCCCCUAGUAACGGCGAGCGAACCGGGAGCAGCCCAGCUUGAGAAUCGGGCGCCGUCGGCGUUCGA
rnacentral:rRNA from 1 species